rnacentral:rRNA from 1 species
UUUCAUGAUUAUAUGAUAGGUGGUGCAUGGCCGUUCUUAGUUCGUGGAGUGAUCUGUCUGCUUAAUUGCGUUUCAAAUUUUUAUUUGAGGACCAGGUUUUGGUUUGGGUAGUGGUCCUACGAUGACUGUGAACUGUCAUGUCUUCGGAUGUGCGACUAUCGGUCUAGGAUCGCAUCUCAGCCCCUGGGACUCUUUUGAACGCAACGGACGUGAUUGCAACCCCUUGUUGAGAUUAGAGGAGUCUCGAUAUUCAUUGGCCAAACUUACCGCUUCGAGCUUGCUCGUGCAGUUUUGUUAGCCGGUGGAUAAACUCGGGGGACUGCUGACUAUAACCAUUUCUCAAAACAGAGGAAGGUUGCGGCAAUAACAGGUCUGUGAUGCCCUUAGAUGUCCCGGGCUGCACACGUGCUACAAUGAGUGGCGCAAUGUGUGCAAUUUUGUAAGG